rnacentral:misc_RNA from 1 species
UCCGGCUUAUCACCGGCAGUUUCUUUAGAGUGCCCAACUAAAUGGUGGCAACUAAAGACGAGGGUUGCGCUCGUUGCGGGACUUAACCCAACAUCUCACGACACGAGCUGACGACAGCCAUGCACCACCUGUACACCGACAAAAAGGGGCCCCAUCUCUGGGGCUUUCCGGCGUAUGUCAAACCCAGGUAAGGUUCUUCGCGUUACAUCGAAUUAAGCCGCAUGCUCCGCCGCUUGUGCGGGCCCCCGUCAAUUCCUUUGAGCUUUAGUCUUGCGACCGUACUCCCCAGGCGGUCUACUUAUCGCGUUAGCUGCGCCACUAAAGCCUCAAAGGCCCCAACGGCUAGUAGACAUCGUUUACGGCAUGGACUAC